rnacentral:rRNA from 1 species
UACGAAGGGGGCUAGCGUUGCUCGGAAUUACUGGGCGUAAAGCGCACGUAGGCGGCUUUCUAAGUCGGGGGGUGAAAUCCUGGAGCUCAACUCCGGAACUGCCUUUGAUACUGCAAAUCUCGAGUCCGGAAGAGGUGAGUGGAAUUCCUAGUGUAGAGGUGGAAUUCGUAGAUAUUAGGAAGAACACCAGUGGCGAAGGCGGCUCACUGGUCCGGUACUGACGCUGAGGUGCGAAAGCGUGGGGAGCAAACAGGG